UUCCUUUUAUUUCCCGAUUUUUAUAAGUCAGUGCCCUUACAACUUCCAAAGGUAAACAUGAGGUUUCUUUCCUUAAGCAGCAUCAUCAACUCUUGGAUGUUGAUAUAUUCAACACAAGCUAAAAAAAAAGGAAUCUUAAGUCUUAAGAUAUCAUUAAGAGUAACUUGAAUUACUUAUGAAGGAUUUAUAUACUAAAUAUAUGCUCACAUUAAUUUUCAUAUAUAGAUAUUAAUUUACAAGUAAUUAACAUGCUACAACAUUUUAUAAUUCACUUCAAUAAUGUGUAGAGAUAACAUAAAAAUUAACUCUAGCCUACCUUGGGCUGCAUGAUCACAGACAAGCUGAUGUAAUUAAAAUGAAAAGAUUUAUUUCCUGGUACUUUCAUGGCUUUAUUUUUACAUUAAAAUCUUUCAUGAUGUAUUAUUUAUUGCUAUCUUUCACCAAAUGGUUGGCCAGUCAAUCCCAGGGUGACUUCUUAAUAAUAACAGCUAAUACAUGUAAACCAUAAACAUUUAUGAAAAUUAUACACCCUCAUAUAAAUUUCAUUAUAACAUACAUAAAUUACAAAAGAAAGAAAAAGUCAACGAGGAUAUGGGGGAAGCCAAAAGGAAUACAAACUAACAAAUGAACCUAACUAUGUACAAAUUAUGCAAAUCACAUAAUUUGCAGGAGGAGGUGGAAAGAAAAGAUCUAGGCAACGUUUGAAACCAGUACUGUAGACGCUACAGGUCAAACACAAAAACAACAGUGCACAAUUAAGGAAGGUGCCCUCCAUAGUGACUGUGCCUCCUGGGGGCACAGGUUGAGCAGUUCACCUACAGCACUGACAUGGCAUAAGUGAAUGUCGUGUCAAUCUGAGAGCCAGGUUUACCCCUGUCACAGGAAGAAACUACACAUAAGGAAAGGGGCAGGUGAGACCGGAACAGUAGGAACUGGACAGCUACAGAAACCAACGGGGGUAAAUGCAUAAGCACGUGUCACAGAUCCACUUCCCAGCUCUGUCCCAGGAGGGCCCAGAAGCAACAAGCACAGCCAUUGCCCAGGUCUUGGUUGCUAAAUCCGUCUCCAGUGAGGGAGGGCUCCCUGGAGAAGUAGCUGGGUCCAGAGCUGGGACAAGGAAAACCGAAGACAUCCCAAAAUAAGGAAGUACUUAAAUAAGGAUGGGGCACAGGAGACAAUCUCCAGGAGCUCCCAGUGGCCAAAGCAUGACAGUAUCAGAUUAUGACUCACAGACUCAAACAAACAUCCCUUGAGUUCAUACUGAUACACACAUCUAAAGAAAGAAAUGGUAGGUCUGGCGCAGUGGCUCAUGCCUGCAAUCCCAGCACUUUGGGAGGCCAAGGCGGGCGGAUCACUUGAGCUCGAGAAUUUGAGACCAGCCUGAGCAACAUAAGGAAACCCCAUCUCUACAAGAAAUACAAAAACUUAGCUGUGCAUGGUGGUGAGCACCUGUGGUUCUAGCUACUCAGGAGGCUGAGAUGGAAGGAUCACUUGAGUCCGGGAGGUCGAGGCUGCAGUGAGCCAUGAUACAGCCACUGCACUGCAGCCUGAGCGACAGAGCAAGACCCUGUCUCAGAAAAAAAAAGCUGGAGAAGGGACUGCUCUUUCUUAGAGACGAAUUCCAAUUAAUAAACGUCAAAGGAAUGAGGAAAAUGCAAAAAUCACCUUUGAAAACUAAGUUAAUAAUUACUGCAUUGCAAGACCCACCAGUGGAUGCUGAAAUCGGUGGGUAGGCCGGGUGCGGUGGCUCACGCCUGUAAUCCUAGCACCUUGGGAGGCCGAGGUGGGUGGAUUGCCUGAGCUCAGGAGUUCAACACCAGCCUGGGCAACAUGGUGAAACCCCGUCUCUACUAAAAAUACAAAAAAAAUUACCUGGGCAUGGUGGCGUGUGCCUGUAAUCGCAGCUGCUUGGGAGGCUGAGAUGGGAAUUGCUUGAAGCUGGGAGGCGGAGGUUGCAGUGAGCUGAGAUUGUGCCACUGCACUCCAGCCUGGGUAACAGAGUGAGACUCCAUCUCAAAAAAAAAAAAAAAAAUUAGAAAUUAGUGGGUAAAACUUGGAAGAGAAACAGACAUUCACUUAGUCUGGAAGUAUCUCCCCAAGGUAUUUAUGGAUGACAAAGGGAAAACAGUAACUAUGUAGUGGAGAAGGCCCGGCAGCCGCAACUGCCACCUGAACUAAUACGACCAAGAGUUGGACAGACUGACAUUGCAUAUCUCCACUAUGCAUUGAGAAGAGGACAUCCCAGCUGUGGUAUUCAUGCCAAAAAAUAAACCAGCAGGGCAUGGUGGCUCAGGCCUGUAAUCCCAGCACUUUGGGAGGCCAAGGCAGAUGGAUCACAAGGUCAGGAGUUCAAGAUCAGCCUGGCCAGCAUGGUGAAACCUUGUCUCUACUAAAAAUACAAAAAUUAGCCAGGCGAUGGUCUCGAUCUCCUGACUUUGUGAUCUGCCUGCCUCAGCCUCCCAGUGUGCUGGAAAUACAGGCGUGAGCCACUGUGCC
ensembl:lncRNA